UGGGGAAUUUUGCGCAAUGGGGGAAACCCUGACGCAGCGACACCGCGUGAGCGAAGAAGCCUUUUGGGGUGUAAAGCUCUGUCGACUGGGAAGAAAAAAAUGACUGUACCAGUAAAGGAAGCAUCGGCUAACUACGUGCCAGCAGCCGCGGUAAGACGUAGGAUGCAAGCGUUGUCCGGAUUCAUUGGGCGUAAAGAGUUCGUAGGCGGUUUUUUAAGUUCGGAGUUAAAGAUCAAGGCUCAACCUUGGGACUGCUUUGAAUACUGAAAGACUUGAGUGCAGUAGGGGCGAGUGGAAUUUCCAGUGUAGCGGUGAAAUGCGUAGAUAUUGGAAAGAACACCAGUGGCGUAGGCGGCUCGCUGGGCUGUAACUGACGCUGAGGAACGAAAGCUAGGGUAGCGAAUGGG
rnacentral:rRNA from 1 species